ensembl:lncRNA kinesin family member C3
AUGUAUGUGCUGUGCACACUGGUGUUGCUGUCUCUCCACAACCUGUUUAAGAGACCCAAGGUCCAGGAACCCUCUGAACCCAAGGCUAUUGAGGGUCCCGAGCAGCAAAGACCAGAUGUAGCCAAACUGGGACGCAAGAAGAGGAACAAGCACCACUUGCGUGAAGGUUCUGGACCACUAGAGACCUCAAGAGUGUCUAGACAGCAUGACUUUGAAAGAUGCUUGGAUGGACCCAGCAGAGCAAGUAAAAGAAGAUCCGUUCACCUGGAUAAUGUGCAUGAGAGGAGGAAGAGAGCACAGCCGGUCCAGCGGUGUGGUCUACUCGGCCCUGCGGUCAUGUACGGCACACGAAAGACCUGGGACGUUGGCCACACCCCCUGCCUGCAGGAGCUCUGGAACAAAGACCUCUCAUUGGAUGUUUCAGCAAGUUCCCUGGAUAUCCUGAUGAGUGAUGGUGAGGAGGAGAGCUCCUUCCUCUCGUUGCCCAACUCUGUCCUUCAGCGCCACUGUUUGACCUCUGACCUCUCUGAAACGGCCACCUCAGAACAGCAGCAGCUGCUCAUACAGAAGGUUACUUUGUCCUGUUCCUGGACGUCUGCCUACACACUGCAAGAGAGAGUUUGUGAGUUCCAGGCACGUUUGCGCAGCGAAGACGCCGCAAAAAGACACCUGCUACAGCGACUGCAGACACACGACCACCAGCUCAACCAAGACAACCACCAGAACGAGGAACAGUUGUCCAUUAAUCAAGAACCUCAAGAGCAGCUCAGACUGCAGGACGGCCAGCUCAUCCAAGCUGUGUCACCUACAGGUGUGAGGAGCUCUAGUGUUUUGAGACAGAGGCCUGUGGAUUUUCCCAGUGUUGUACAAGUGAGUAAAGUUCACUCACAGGAGCAACUGCAAAAAGACGAGGGAGAAAAACUCGCUCUCAUUACAGGGCUGCACACACAGGUCAAGGAGCUGGAGGAGAAACUAGUGGAUCAGACGCAGGAGGUGGAGAGACUGCGCUCUGAGCUGGGGGCGACAGAUCUGGAGAAACAGCUCGAGGUGCUGGAGAGUGAGAACCAGCGGCUCAAACAAGAGCUGAGGGCCAGUCAGACCCAGACCACCUGCUCUACUGGCCACUGCCCACACAGCCAAGAUGUGGAGGCCCUGCGCGGAGAGCUGUGUCAUAAAGACGAGGAGUGCCGCGAGCGGGAGCGGCGACUGGCUGCGCUGGAGCAGCAUGUGCAGGAGAGGACGGGUGUAGUAGUUCAGCUGCAGCAGCAGCUGGAGGAGGCGGCGCAGCGCAGACAGGAGCUCCAGCAGCAGCUGGAAGAGGCGUCACGUCUCAGGAGCCAGAGUGAGGAGCAGCUGACCUCACGGCUUCGUGAUGCUGAGGAGGCUCUGUCUCGCCAGGCUGCUCUGACACCACAGGUCAAGUAUGUGACCAAGACGGUUGAAGUGGAGUCGGCCCAGUGUAAGCAGGCUUUAAUGGAGGCUCAGGGCCGUAAUCAGGCGCUGCAGGAGCAGCUGAGUGUUCAGAGGCAGCUCCUCAGAGAGCUGGAGCAGCAGCUGCACGAGUCCCAGAGAACCAGCAGUCAGCUCCGCCAGCAGCUGAGGACGGACCACGGCCGUCUGUAUGGCCUGCUCUUCAAGGCGGUGGGUGGGGGUAACACGGAGGUCACCCACAGGCUCUCCAAGAUCCUGGUGUAUGAGAGUGAGAUGGAGAGAGCUCAGGGUCAGCUGGAGGCAGAGAUGCAGAGUCUGGAGGAGGAGAAGAACAGAGUGAUCGAGGAAGCUUUCAUCAGAGCAGAGAGCGAGAUGAAGGCCGUCCACGAGAACCUAGCAGGUGUGCGGAUGAACCUCCUGACACUGCAGCCGGCCCUGAGAACCCUCACCUGUGAUUACAACUGUCUGAAGAGACAGGUGCAGGACUUCCCUUACAUGCUGGAGAAAGCCAUCACUGAGGCGAAGCAGGAGAUCUGUCAGGUGAUUGGAGAGGUGAGCAGUGCAAACCAAGAGCUGCUGCGCAAAUACAAGCGGGAGAUGAACCUGAGGAAGAAAUGCCACAAUGAACUGGUGCGCCUCAAAGGAAACAUUCGUGUGUUGUGCCGAGUACGUCCCGUAUGUGCUGGAGAAACAGAUGCUGCUGACACCAAAAACAUAGUGACCUUUGAUCCUGAUGAUGAUGCUGUUCUCUACUUGUCUAAUAAGGGCAAGCUCAUGACCUUUGAACUUGACAAAGUCUUUCCCACUCAGGCCACUCAGGAGGAGGUGUUCCAGGAAGUGCAGUCUCUGGUCACUUCCUGUAUUGAUGGCUUUAACGUAUGCAUCUUUGCCUAUGGGCAGACUGGCUCUGGAAAGACCUAUACUAUGGAGGGUGUCCCUGAAGACCCUGGCAUUAACCAGCGUGCACUGCGGCUGCUCUUCUCUGAAGUGUCGGAGAAAAAGCCUGACUGGGACUACAAGAUCACCGUCAGCAUGGUGGAAAUCUACAAUGAGACCCUUCGGAACCUGUUGGGCGACAAUCCCAAUGAGAAGCUGGAUAUAAAGAUGUGUCCAGACGGCAGUGGACAGCUGUACGUGCCAGGACUCACAGAGUUCACCGUGGAGAGCGUGGAGGACAUUAACAAGGUGUUUGACCUGGGUCACAUGAACAGGGCGACAGCGUGCACUAAUCUAAACGAGCACAGCUCUCGCUCUCAUGCCCUCCUUAUUGUCACAGUGGCGGGUUUCAACUCUUCCACGGGCCACCGCACCUCAGGUAAGCUCAAUCUGGUGGAUCUGGCUGGUUCCGAGCGGAUUGCCAAAUCUGGCGCCGAGGGCAGCCGUCUGCGCGAGGCUCAGUGUAUCAACAAAUCACUGUCUGCGCUGGGUGACGUCAUCAAUGCCCUGCGCUCCAAACACUCGCACGUGCCCUUCAGGAACUCCCGCCUCACGUACCUGCUGCAGGACUCGCUCAGCAGAGACAGCAAGACCCUCAUGAUGGUGCAGGUGUCUCCUCUAGAGAGUAACGUCAGUGAGUCGGUUUGCUCUCUGAAGUUCGCUCAGCGUGUUCGGACUGUUGAGAUCGGGCCCUCGUCUUCCUCACGCCGCCAUGCGGAGAACUCCUCAACAUCCUCCUCUCCAACUCAUGACAGCGUGGAGCUGGACUCUCCUCCCGUGACCCCUGUGCCGCUCCCCAUCUCAAGGGCCAGCAGCGCAGGUUCAACCCUCUCCUCCAACUCUAAAACCCCCACAACCCGGCGGAGGUCCCACAGUCAGCUGUCCACAGGUGAGCAGACAGAGAAACAACCAACGGUCACAUGACGCAGAAAUACCUGCUUAUAUAAGACUCUGUAAAUAAUCUGAUAUAAUAUUACAUUAGUCUCAUAAUAACAGCCUUGAUAAUCAUAGCAUCUGACAGGUCACGCUAUGUAAAGGGGACGUCUGUACUUUCUUUGCAUUGUGACGCUGUAAUUGGUUGGUUUCCAGAUAGACAGGUAGACAGAAGCAGCCCAUUGGUUGGGGACGGUGGGCAGGUAGGUGGGGUUUUAUGUGGUUGGUCGCUUGGCAUGAACCGCUCAGCAUGGCAUGGUGCCCCACGUGUCACCUCGUCAACGCCCACCCAUCUAACACAGCGCCUUUAACCCCAGGAAGCUGUGCGUGUGUGCGCGCGUGUGUGCGCGUGUGCGCGUGUGCGCGUGUGCGUGCGUAUGAAUGCGUGCGUGCGUGUGCGUGCGUGUGUGCGUGCGCGUGCGUGUGUGUAAAUUGAGAUCAGCUGCUAUUUUGUUGUUGUGUCUUAGUUUUGUUUGGCCUUGUACAAGCUUACUGUAUUUGUCCAAUUGAUUUAUAUCCGUUGUCUUGUGACUUUUGCAACUGUGCACUGUAUUCACUGUUUGUCUGUGUUAAUUGUGUGUGAAAGAGAGAGUGGUGAAAAUGUUGGUGUUUUAUGUCUUCACCUACAGCUCUGCUUUUGAUUGGCUGGGCUGCACUGUGGUGGUGACAGAAUAAUGUUUAUUUUUGUGACAAAUGUGAUUUCAUUGUUGUUAUGUGAGGGUAAAUGAGUUCAAUACUGAUUACAGUAGCUCUGUUCUAAAAUCUAGUGAUCUGUUUUCUAAUACAAGACGACACAUUCGGUGCAAAAAGUUCUGUGCAAUAAAGAAUAUGAAUGAACUACUGUUACUGCA